rnacentral:rRNA from 1 species
UACGUAGGGGGGCAAGCGUUGUCCGGAAUCAUUGGGCGUAAAGCGCGUGUAGGCGGCUCGGUAAGUCCGCUGUGAAAGUCGGGGGCUCAACCCUCGGAUGCCGGUGGAUACUGUCGGGCUAGAGUACGGAAGAGGCGAGUGGAAUUCCUGGUGUAGCGGUGAAAUGCGCAGAUAUCAGGAGGAACACCAAUUGCGAAGGCAGCUCGCUGGGACGUUACUGACGCUGAGACGCGAAAGCGUGGGGAGCAAACAGG